AACGAACGCUGGCGGCAUGCCUAACACAUGCAAGUCGAACGAGACCUUCGGGUCUAGUGGCGCACGGGUGCGUAACGCGUGGGAAUCUGCCCUUGGGUUCGGAAUAACAGUUGGAAACGACUGCUAAUACCGGAUGAUGACGUAAGUCCAAAGAUUUAUCGCCCAAGGAUGAGCCCGCGUAGGAUUAGCUAGUUGGUGAGGUAAAGGCUCACCAAGGCGACGAUCCUUAGCUGGUCUGAGAGGAUGAUCAGCCACACUGGGACUGAGACACGGCCCAGACCCCCCGGGGGGGAAGCGGGGGGGAAUAUUGGAAAAGGGGGGAAAGCCUGAUCCAGCAAGGCCGGGGGAGUGAUGAAGGCCUUAGGGUUGUAAAGCUCUUUUACCCGGGAUGAUAAUGACGGUACCGGGGGAAAAAGCCCCGGCUAACCCCGG
rnacentral:rRNA from 1 species